rnacentral:rRNA from 1 species
UACGAAGGGGGCUAGCGUUGCUCGGAAUUACUGGGCGUAAAGGGCGCGUAGGCGGCACUGUUAGUCAGGCGUGAAAGUCCUGGGCUCAACCUGGGAACUGCGCUUGAUACGGCAGAGCUAGAGGAUGGAAGAGGGUCGCGGAAUUCCCAGUGUAGAGGUGAAAUUCGUAGAUAUUGGGAAGAACACCGUGUGGCGAAGGCGGCGACCUGGUCCUUACUGACGCAUGAGG